AUUAGUAAAUGAAUCAAAUGAAGAAUCUUCAUGGUUAAAUGCAUAGAAAGGAUAUUUGAAGAGAGCCAAUGACAUAAGGAGAAGCAGUUAUGAAUUUUGAAAUUGAUAUAAAGGAGAGGUCAUUCAUCACAGAAGAUUUAAUCAAAGUUUACAGUAUGUUGAGAGAAGUUCAGAACAAGCAAUUUGGUUGAAAAGGAGUUGUCAACACGUCAUCUUUGAACAAGGUCAAUUGUAUUAGAAGUGAAUCCUUAACAGAAAUGAGACAAUAAUCAAAUAAUUCAAAGACUACAUGGAUGUUAUCUGGACUAGCAUUUGUAUGACCUAAAUGUGGUAUUUUUCAUAUGAACACUUACAAGGCAGAUAAUAGUCUGUGACAAACAUUUGUAUGCAAUUAAAGACUUGAAGAACUUGUACGGUAUUCUUCAGAUUUCAGUAGAAUUUGUUUAAAACGGUACAUUCUUGGUAUGAAUUGAAGAAUUUUUGCUCAUUUAAAUGAAUUAUGAAAAUGUUUUAUAUGUUUAGAAUAAACAAAAACAACAUAAAAGAUGGACAAAUUUUUAUUUUCUUUCUUGAAACUUAUAACAGAAUAAAUUGUCAUAUGCUAA